rnacentral:rRNA from 1 species
CACGUAGGGUGCGAGCGUUGUCCGGAAUUAUUGGGCGUAAAGAGCUCGUAGGCGGUGUGUCGCGUCGGCCGUGAAAACCUGCAGCUUAACUGUGGGCUUGCGGUCGAUACGGGCAUCACUGGAGUUCGGCAGGGGAGACUGGAAUUCCUGGUGUAGCGGUGAAAUGCGCAGAUAUCGGGAAGAACACCGGUGGCGAAGGCGGCUCUCUGGGACGUUACUGGACGCUGAGACGCGAAAGCGUGGGGGAGCGAACAGG